rnacentral:rRNA from 1 species
AGUGAACGCUGGCGGUAGGCCUAACACAUGCAAGUCAAACGGCAGCACAGUAAGAGCUUGCUCUUACGGGUGGCGAGUGGCGGACGGGUGAGGAAUACAUCGGAAUCUACUUUUUCGUGGGGGAUAACGUAGAAAAACUUACGAUAAACCAGAAUACGCACUACGAAAGAGAGCAGGGGAUCUUCGGACCUUGCACGAUUGAAUGAGCCGAUGUCGGAUUAGACAGUUGGCGGGGUAAAGGCCCACCAAGGCGACGAUCCGUAGCUGGUCUGAGAGGAUGAUCAGCCACACUGGAACUGAGACACGGUCCAGACUCCUACGGGAGGCAGCAGUGUGUAUGAUUUGUGUAUUGGCGCAAGCCUGAGCCAGCCAUGCUGCUUGUUUGUAGAAUGCCUUCUGGUUGUAAAGCCCUUUUGUUGUGAAAGAAAAGCAGCUUGUUAUUACUUCUCUUUUCUGACGUUUUUCAUAGUAUAAUCACCUGCUAACUUCGUG